UACGUAGGGGGCAAGCGUUAUCCGGAUUUACUGGGUGUAAAGGGGGCGCAGACGGCGAUGCAAGCCAGGAGUGAAAGCCCGGGGCCCAACCCCGGGACUGCUCUUGGAACUGCGUGGCUGGAGUGCAGGAGGGGCAGGCGGAAUUCCUGGUGUAGCGGUGAAAUGCGUAGAUAUCAGGAGGAACACCGGUGGCGAAGGCGGCCUGCUGGACUGCGACUGACGUUGAGGCCCGAAAGCGUGGGGAGCAAACAGG
rnacentral:rRNA from 1 species